UUAAUAGAUGCAGACUAUUGCCUUUGGAAUGUAUAAGCAAUGAGAUCUUGCUCCAUAGAACUGGGAACUGUAUCUAGUCACUUAUGAUGGAGCAUGAUAAUGUGAGAAAAAGGAAUGUAUACAUGUAUGUGUGACUAGGUCAACUUGCUGUAAAGUAGAAAAUUGACAGAACACUGUAAUCCAGCUACAAUGGAAAAAAAAACAAAAAUCAUUAAAUUAAAAAAAAAAAAGAGGAGUUCCCAUCAUGGUGCUGUGGUUAACGAAUCCGACUAGGAACCAUGAGGUUGCGGGUUUGAUCCCUGCCCUUGCUCAGUGGGUUAAGGAUCCGGCGUUGCCAUGAGCUGUGGUGUAGGUUGCAGACGUGGCUCGGAUCCGGCGUUGCUGUGGCUCUGACGUAGGCUGGCAGCUACAGCUCCAAUUAGACCCCCUAGCCUGGGAACCUCCAUAUGCCGCGGGAGCGGCCCAAGAAAUGGCAAAAAAAGACAAAAAAAAAAUUUUUUUUUCUAUGAUAUUUAAACUAUUUGCCUCUAAACUGGGUGGCUUAAAACAACAGAAAUUAAUUCUAGAGUUCUGGAGAUUAGAAGUCCAAAAUGAGCUUCCUGGAAUAAAGGGGUCAGCAGGACUGUGCUCCUUCCAGUGGUUCUAGGUGAGAAUCUCUCCCAGCUUCUGGUAACUCCUGGAAUUCUUUGGCUUGUGGCUUCAUUUCUCCAGCCUUUAAAGCCAGCAUCUUCAAAUCUUUAAAGCCCGUCUCUAUUCUCCCUUCACAUAGCCUCCUCUCAGUGUAUAAAAUCUCCCCCUCCUUUCCUCUUAUAUGGAUAUGUGUGACUGCAUUUAGGGCCUAACUGGGGGCAUCUGGCUAAUCUUUUUAUGCAAGAGCCUCAACUUAAUCACAUUACAAAGACUCUUUUUUCAAAUAAGGUAAGAGUCACAGGUUUUGGAGAUUAGGAUAGGGAUAUAUUUGGGGGGGGUCAUUGUUUAGGCUACCACAAACAUUAAAAAAAUUUUAGUACAUUUAUAUAUGAUGCAUAUGUACAUACAUAAAUUCAUAAAUAAAAAAAAUCUACUUUUUUUUUUUUUUUACCGUGGUCAUUACUGCAAUGUUACAGCUGACUUUGAACUCCUCAUCAUAUAUCUCUAUAGCAGUUCUUGAAUAAUAAAUACAUAAUACUCAUGUAAGAUGUUAAUAUGUGAGAAAAAAAAGUCAGGGAGAAAGAUUUCGUACUUUGGCUGAUGUACAUUUGAGACCCACUAGUUCCAAGUCUUUCAUUUCAAAUAUAAACACCAGGCACCUCUCCAAUUAAAUGACACCAACAUUUAUGUUGUUUCCUGGAAGACAUAUGUGUGCUGCAAAUAUGCGGCUACCCGGAGCCAAAAGCUCAGGGGCUGGAGAGAGGUUUUGCCGGGUUCCACAGCAACGAGGAAUGGUGUUAAACCCAACCUCAAGAACCAUUUUUUCUCAAUCAUGUGGCAUAUCUAUUCUUCCCUUCUGGCUUUUUUAUUUUACUCAGAUUCCUGGAUAUGACUAUAUGCUAGAUUAGGACACAACAGUUAAAUGGGAUAUUAAAGACCAUUGGGUCCAAUCCCAGUCUGAUACAGCUUAGGGCAUCCGAAAGGACCGAACAGGUGAUGAUGAUUCCCAAGGCAGCUGAGGCAAGACUUGACCCCGGAGCUCCUGACCCCUGAUAUCUAGAGCAUUCUACACUAUUCUUUAAUCCACAAAUCUCUGCCCCUCAAUACUCUAUACUUUGGGAAAUCCCGGCAGCAGCAAUGUUCGAGAAGCAGGAAAAAUAGGGUGAUUGAAACACAGAGGAAAGUAAAAAAUGAGUUGGAGAGCUGGUGGUACCAAAGCCUCAUUUUGAGUGAGGCAUCAAGUGUUGUCAAAGGAAAACUCUGAGCCAGAGAGACAGACAGAGUCGUGGGUUAAAGGUCAGUGAUAGGAGGAGCACUGGCCUGGCCCCCCUCUCUGUGUGUGUGGUGGGGUGGGGGCAGGAAGAGGGCAGUGUUGCCCUCAGGGGCACCUGGGGGCUGAAUCUUGGAGCAGAAUGUGGGAGCUUAUGCCAGUGAGGCCAAGGGCAGGCUCAAUGUCCCAGUCACUGGAAGGUACCUUCCCCUGCUUGAAGACUUCCAAAGAGUCCCCAUUUCAAUGAAUCAAAAUUAAUUAAUCUGACACUUUGCCACAAUACAAAUAUGGCUCCUUCCUCUCUAACCUCAGCUCUUAGUACUACCCAGCCCACCCCAUGUAUCCCCCCACCCUGUUCUAGACACCCUGGCCUUCUUUCCAUCCCUCAAGAAAACCAAGGUCAUUCCUUACCCAGGGGCUUUGAACUUGCUAUUCCUUCUGCCCGGAACAGUCUUUUCCCAGAUCCUUUUCAUUCUCAGGUCCUAUUUGUCUUUCAUUUCUCUUCUUUUUUUUAAAAAAAAUUUACUUAUUUAUUUAUUUUAUUAAAGUGUCAUUAUGCCAAUUUAUGUUAUAUAGCAUAGUGACCCAAUAUUUAUAUAUAUUCUUUUCCUCAUACUACUUUCUAUCAUGUUUUAUCCAAAGAGAUUGGAUAUAGGACAGUGUGCUGGACAGUAGGACCUCAUCGCCCAUCCAUUCUAAAUGUAAUAGUUUACAUCUACCAACCCCAAACUCCCCAUCCAUCCACUCCCUUCCCCCAUCCCCUUGGCAACCACAAGUCCAUUCUCUAUAUCUAUGAGUCUGUUUCCAUUUUGUAUAUAGGUUCAUUUGUGCCAUGUUUUAGAUUCUACAUACAGGUGAUAUCAUAUGACAUUUGUCUUUCUAUUUCUGACUUCACACAGUAUGAUCAUCUCUAGUUGCAUCCAUGUUGCUGCAAAUGCCAUUAUUUUGUUCUUCUUUAUGGCUGAGUAGUAUUCCAUCAUAUAUAUGUACCACAUCUUCUUAGUCCAUUCAUCUGUCAAUAAGACAUUUAGGUUGUUUCCAUGUCUUGCCUAUUGUGAAUAGUGCUGCAAUGACCAUAGCGGUGCAUGUAUCUUUUUGAUCAUUCCUCUUCUUAACCAACACAGAAAGGCCCUCCCGGGGCAUUCAAUCAAAAUUGACCCCCUCCUUCUCCUGGUUAUAAUCCAAAACCCUGUUUAUUUUCUUCAUGGCACUUAUCACCAUCCAUUAUUAUGCAGUUAGGUUUUUUUUUCCCUAUUAAACCGUAAGCUCCAUGAGAACAGAAACUUUAUUCUCCUCAUUGUCCCAAAUCCUAGAGCAUUGCCUGACAUAGAGUGGGUGCUGAGUAAAUAUUUGUUGAAUACAUCAAUUACUAAGUCUCCCAGAUUCAUUUCCAGGGCAGGCAACAUAUGACACUUGGGCUGAUAUCCGCAGCCACUGAAUGGAUGAAUCAAUGUAGCUGUUGGAGUGUCUCUAAAAAGUCGAUCACAGUCACAGGAAAUUGUGUGUGUGUGUCCCAGCUACCCAGUUCCCAGCCCCACUGGACCUUUGGGAUUUCUGCACUGUCCUAUAGAGGUCACUUGCUCACAGGGAUCUCUCUGAUUCCUCCCUCAGGACAAGGGGCCUCUCCUUUGGACAGAGUUACAGAGGGUUGGUGUAUAUUGGCUCUUACAGAAGCUGAAGGGCCCCCUCUGGCUCUGCUCCUUCAAAGGGUUGCCCAGAUUGCAAGUUCUAAUGGACUAUCCUGGUUGGGAAUUAAGAAAUGCAGUUUUGUUUGUUUGUUUAUUUGUUUUAAAUCUGUUCUCCCUGCCCAAGAAUCCUCCUCCUGCCUUGGAACCUUGUUCCUCUGUGUGUUUAAUGGUUAAAUGAGUGCCCUCUCACCCCCUGCCCGGAGGUAGGUGCUAGCCGUGGCUGAAUACCUAUAGAUCUCAGACAUACGUGAGGUGCUUAAACAACAUGAAAUUACUUGAUCCUUACAGCAUUUGGAAAAGGUGGACAUCACCAUUUUAUAGAUGAGAAAACUGAGAUGGGGUUGCCCAAGCUAUCAAGCUAGGAUAUUUUAAAGUCAAGGCAUAAACGUACAUCUUCCUGAUCCCGAAACCAGAACGCUGUCCAUGGUGCCAUGUUGGAAUGAAAUGAGAGGAAAGAACUGCCACCUUCCAGAAUAAGCCCUGUUAUUCACCAGGCCAACAGGAACACCCUGCCCAGAUGGCCCCGCAGAGCUCAACCGUCGCGCCGCCGCCUGCAGAUCUCCAGCUGUCACUUAGACAAAUUGGCUACUGGGUCAGGAGUAUUGGCAGUGAACGCCCCCAUCUCAUGACAAUCCUUAGACGAACACAGAUUGAUGUGGGGAGGCGGGCUGGACUGUUCCUAGUGAGAGAACACUGAUGGGGGAUGGCUGAUUGCCAUCUUAAUCCAAAGGCUUUCUAGCCAGUUAAGUGACUUGCAAAUACUUCACUCUGACAAUCCUUCAUGAUCGAGUUGGUUCAAAUCUAUUAGCCAGAGUAGGGCUGCAAAGAAUAUAUCAGCAUAGAGUGAUGGCUGACCCUGACCAGGUGGGCCUCUCUACUGUGUCAAGGUGCUCAAACUCCACAUUGAACUCAUUUCUAACCACGAUAGACCCCAGAACCAACACCUUGCUGUUCAGCCUAUAGUUCUGGAGAUAGAUUCAGACCUAUUUCCUUUUUCUCCAGGGGAGUGAAUUGGGCUGAGCAGGAU
rnacentral:lncRNA from 1 species